GCAAGUCGAACGGGAAAUAUUUCAUUGAGACUUCGGUGGAUUUGAUCUAUUUCUAGUGGCGGACGGGUGAGUAACGCGUGGGUAACCUGCCUUAUACAGGGGGAUAACAGUCAGAAAUGGCUGCUAAUACCGCAUAAGCGCACAGAGCUGCAUGGCUCAGUGUGAAAAACUCCGGUGGUAUAAGAUGGACCCGCGUUGGAUUAGCUAGUUGGUGGGGUAACGGCCCACCAAGGCGACGAUCCAUAGCCGGCCUGAGAGGGUGAACGGCCACAUUGGGACUGAGACACGGCCCAGACUCCUACGGGAGGCAGCAGUGGGGAAUAUUGCACAAUGGGGGAAACCCUGAUGCAGCGACGCCGCGUGAAGGAAGAAGUAUCUCGGUAUGUAAACUUCUAUCAGCAGGGAAGAUAGUGACGGUACCUGACUAAGAAGCCCCGGCUAACUACGUGCCAGCAGCCGCGGUAAUACGUAGGGGGCAAGCGUUAUCCGGAUUUACUGGGUGUAAAGGGAGCGUAGACGGUGUGGCAAGUCUGAUGUGAAAGGCAUGGGCUCAACCUGUGGACUGCAUUGGAAACUGUCAUACUUGAGUGCCGGAGGGGUAAGCGGAAUUCCUAGUGUAGCGGUGAAAUGCGUAGAUAUUAGGAGGAACACCAGUGGCGAAGGCGGCUUACUGGACGGUAACUGACGUUGAGGCUCGAAAGCGUGGGGAGCAA
rnacentral:rRNA from 1 species